rnacentral:antisense_RNA from 1 species
UAGGAGAGGGGGCUUGCUCCCGAUAGCGCUGGAUCAGUCAAUUGAGAGGUCGACUGAUUUACCGCUAUCGGGGGCAAGCCCCCUCCCACA